rnacentral:snoRNA from 1 species
GUGCCCAGUGAUUAUAAAAAGACGCGUUAUUCUGAGGAACACAACCUGCUACCAGUCUUUUAUCUACCUUUUACUCCUUCUUUAUCUCUAUCUUUUCUAUUCUUCUCCACUUUGUCUCCUCUUCCUCGAGCUGGUAGCUGGUCCACUGACUGCGAUUAUGAGAUAUGAGGGCAU